CAGAAGAUGAGGGAAACAACCGAAGCUAUGUUACACAAGAUGUGCUGCAUGCUCUUCAAUCUGUGCAGAGGAGACAGAUGAGGGUGAGACUGGAAGUGAGAAGGCAAAUCUCAACACCUGAGCAGCAAAUAAUAUCAUAUGUAGGAUGUAACAGAGGCCAUCCCGAAUAGACCUUCAUGCUGCCGUUGCCAUGGAUUUGCAGACUCAGGAAACAGGAGAAGCCAUGUGUGUCACAGUCAAAGAGUGGCCUUCAGAUUUAGAGAGGCGGUCACAUAGACCCACCCUCUACGUAAUAAAAACAACGGGAGCAGGUCAUUACGACGAAUCGGGAGCGGGAAGUCUAGCGGCAGCAACAACAGGAAGUAGACGAAGAAGAAGAGCAGUGCUCUUCAAAAUAAAGGCACAAAAAAUAAAAUGACAGAACUGCUUCCUUUACUACAAACACAAUUUGCUGUCAUUUACAGUUAAUAUCUUCAUUAUUUUCACAGCAUUUUUUCAGAUUAAUAUGAAGAAUUAUGUAUACUAUGUAUAAUACUGAGCCAAAAUUAAUCUGUACAAUGUUGUACUAACAGUAAUGCAUUGUAGUCAAAUGAAAAACAAAUUAAAUAACUUUUACAAUAUUAAUUUCAUAAGUAUAUAAGAGGUCAGAAUGUGUUAGAUUUCUGAAUUAUACAUGAAAUAUAAUAAUAUUGGUUGUAUUAUUAGAAAUUUGUCUUGUAUAUACUUAACAUAAAACAAUACAUAUUGUGCUAUUAAGAACAUAAAUACAUACAUCUACAGUAACAUACUGUACUGAAUGUAACAAAGCUAAAUACU